AGCGAACGCUGGCGGCAGGCUUAACACAUACAAGUCGAACGCAUCCUUCGGGGUGAGUGGCGGACGGGUGAGUAACACGUGGGAACGUACCCUUCGAUCUGGGAUAACUUCGGGAAACUGGAGCUAAUACCGGAUACGACCUUUUGGGGUAAGGUUUACUGUCGAAGGAGCGGCCCGCCACUGAUUAGCUAGUGGGUGUGGUAACGGCCUAUGAAGGCGACGGUCAGUAGCGGGGUUGAGAGGCUGAGCGGCCACACUGGGACGGUGACACGGCGCAGAAUCUUACGCGAGGGAGCAGUGCGGAAUAUAGGACAACGGCGUCAGGCCUGAUGCAGCCCUGCUGGUAGAGCGAUGAUGGCCGUAGGGUAGUAAAGCUCGCUUGUCCGGGACGAUAAUGACGGUACCGGAAGAAUAAGCCCCGGCUAACUUCGUG
rnacentral:rRNA from 1 species